rnacentral:lncRNA from 1 species
GGCAGAGGACAGCUGCAGACCAGAAAAUGUGGCCGGACGCUCUGGGGGAGGGCAAGACGGAUGUGCAGUGAGGCAGCUCCAAGGGGCAACAGGCCGAGGGCCUGAUCUCCAAAUACAGUCACAUUCUGAGGUACCAGCGGGCAGGACUUCAACGGAUGAAUUUGGCAGUUUGCACAUAUUCACGCCUCGCGGACUGACCACUCUGAAGGCAGGGAAUGGUGCACUCAGUCGAAUUUUCAGCCCUGCCCUCAGUCCUGGCAGGCAGCGCGUCUCACCCCUCACUCGCCGCAAUUACCCCAGAGCCCCCACCUGCUCCGCCGCUCCGCCCAGACUCCGG